ensembl:lncRNA
UGUUGUAGUAGGCGUCUUGCGAGGGCACGGGAUGUACGGGACAGGCCUCUCCCUAAACAUAGAGAGAUAGUGCUAUCGUGCUGACCUUGUUGCAGAGAAAACAGGAGAAGAAGAAGGAUGAUAAAAGAAUGUGGAAAUGGCCAAAUAAGGCACAAUGUUAUCUGGUGUGAACUAAUCAGAGUGGGACAUGACAGCACGGUUAUCUAGGUAAAAUGUAUAUAAGCUGUGUUUAGUAGUGAAUAAACGCCAUUUGCCUCGCUUACUCCUGGGGUCUGGGUGAGCAUCUGGCCCCGACCUGGUAAAGGGUCGGUUUCGCCCAGCAGUAAGCCCUACAUGUGGACAGAGGACGAACACCGGACGAGCGAACGGAGACUACAUGCAACAAGUGGUGACCCCGACGUGAUCUGUCUGCUGAGGGUGGCUGCCCGGCGUGCCCGUGACGCGGAGAAGAGCCUGUGAGGUGGCGGCAGGUCGCAUACGUAACAAUGGACCAAGUCAUUAAGGUACUUGUGCAGUUUUGUAAGGACUACUGUGGAAAAUCUGCUCCUUCCCGGAAGGAGAUCGCGACAGUUUUGUCGCUAUUAAAUGAGCUGGGGGAGCUGGACUCUCCCCGCUACGUUUUGGAUUCGAGUAGGUGGGACUUGCUCACCUCGGUGCUAUGCCAGCGCGCCAUGGCCAGUCAGAAGGCUACGGAACUUAAAACGUGGGGACUGAUAUUAGGAGCCCUUAAAGCGGCCAGAGUUGAGGGAAAGGUAUUGGUGGAGGCUCGAUACCUUUUGGGUCUCAGCGGAGGAGGUGAGACACAGGACCCGGUCGGGUCCGAUGGGGGUUUGGGAGCAGUUUCUUGCAGGGGCCGAGAGGAGACGGAGCCGCCAAUGACCGUUGGCGGGAUGGCGCCGGCUGAGCCGACCGCGCUCAGUUCAAAAGAAGACAAACAACAAGAGAGUGAAAGUUUGUUGUCUCGUCCCCCUCCCCCGUAUCCGAACCCCUCAGGCGGAACGUUGUAUCCUUUAUCAGAAUUACGUCAGUGUUACCUGACUCAAGGGGGCGAAGGAAGCUGUGAUCUACACGGGCAGGAUCAACUUAGUGCCCACAUGGGGAGGGACCAGACAAAAGGUCCGUCCAAUGCGGACAGGGGGCAUAGCCUACUGUCUCUGGUCACUGCCAGGGGCGGUAGUGCGAGUGAUAGUGUAGAAGAGAAAGAAGGGACUGGCUUUGAGUGCAGGGGGAGGGAUCAAAUGACGGACUGGAAUGGGAUUAGAUCGGAGGCUUUGGGAAAGGGUAUAGUUCCAGAGGCAUUCCGGGUGAUUAAAUUCUUCGUUGGCAGACCGAAGCCAACUCCAGAACAACUGAGGGACAGAUGAUGGGAUCAAGAACCACUCGUCAAGAGGAGCACUACACCUGCAACGCUGACACUUCCGAUGUUGCUGAUAUUUAUGGUGUCCAUGGCGAUUACAGAGUGUCACAAACAACUACAAUGGACGCAAGAACAUAUGCAGAAAAUUAAAGAAGAGCGUGAUCCCUUUGGAAGCUGGCUGGACGGACUGUUUGGGGGAACGGGUUCAUGGUUAAAGCAAUUGCUUAAAGCUCUCGCAGUAGGAUUUGCAAUCUUUGUAUGUAUUCUAAUCUGUCUUCCAUGCUUUGUAGGAUGCUUGCAGAACUGCCUUCAACGAAUGAUGGACAAGACUUUUGACUAUCACAUUGAGUAUCAUAGAUUGCGUGAAAAAUUAUAGAGGGGUUUAGGUUGUUGCGUUCGUGCUGUAACGGGGCAAGGCUUGGCCGAGCACGGAAAAGAAUUCCCUGUUGCUCUGAUGAUUGCUUAAGAACUGUAGUAGAAAAUAGUAGGAAUAGUGUGCUGAAAUAUAUUUAGGAUUAGGCGUUUUGCGCUGCUUCGCGAUGUACGGGUUAGGUGUGUGUGUAAGUAGUAUUUAGCUUAGGGAGGGGGAGAUGUUGUAGUAGGCGUCUUGCGAGGGCACGGGAUGUACGGGACAGGCCUCUCCCUAAACAUAGAGAGAUAGUGCUAUCGUGCUGACCUUGUUGCAGAGAAAACAGGAGAAGAAGAAGGAUGAUAAAAGAAUGUGGAAAUGGCCAAAUAAGGCACAAUGUUAUCUGGUGUGAACUAAUCAGAGUGGGACAUGACAGCACGGUUAUCUAGGUAAAAUGUAUAUAAGCUGUGUUUAGUAGUGAAUAAACGCC